UACGGAGGAUGCAAGCGUUAUCCGGAAUGAUUGGGCGUAAAGCGUCCGCAGGUGGCGAUGUAAGUCUGCUGUUAAAGAGUCUAGCUCAACUAGAUAAGAGCAGUGGAAACUACACGGCUAGAGUACGUUCGGGGCAGAGGGAAUUCCUGGUGUAGCGGUGAAAUGCGUAGAGAUCAGGAAGAACACCGGUGGCGAAGGCGCUCUGCUAGGCCGUAACUGACACUGAGGGACGAAAGCUAGGGGAGCGAAUGGG
rnacentral:rRNA from 1 species